GACUCCUACGGGAGGCAGGAGUGGGGAAUAUUGGACAAUGGGCGGAAGCCUGAUCCAGCAACGCCGCGUGAGGGAUGACGGCCUUCGGGUUGUAAACCUCUUUCAGCAGGGACGAAGCGCAAGUGACGGUACCUGCAGAAGAAGCACCGGCCAACUACGUGCCAGCAGCCGCGGUAAUACGUAGGGUGCGAGCGUUGUCCGGAAUUAUUGGGCGUAAAGGGCUCGUAGGCGGUUUGUCGCGUCGGGAGUGAAAACCAGGUGCUUAACACCUGGCUUGCUUUCGAUACGGGCAGACUAGAGGUAUGCAGGGGAGAACGGAAUUCCUGGUGUAGCGGUGAAAUGCGCAGAUAUCAGGAGGAACACCGGUGGCGAAGGCGGUUCUCUGGGCAUGACCUGACGCUGAGGAGCGAAAGUGUGGGGAGCGAACAGGAUUAGAUACCCUGGUAGUCCACACCGUAAACGUUGGGCGCUAGGUGUGGGGUCCAUUCCACGGAUUCCGUGCCGCAGCUAACGCACUAAGCGCCCCGCCUGGGGAGUACGGCCGCAAGGCUAAAACUCAAAGGAAUUGACGGGGGCCCGCACAAGCGGCGGAGCAUGCGGAUUAAUUCGAUGCAACGCGAAGAACCUUACCUGGGUUUGACAUACACCCUGCCGCUCCAGAGACGGGGCUUCUUUUGGGGGUGUACAGGUGGUGCAUGGCUGUCGUCAGCUCGUGUCGUGAGAUGUUGGGUUAAGUCCCGCAACGAGCGCAACCCUCGUUCUAUGUUGCCAGCACGUAAUGGUGGGGACUCAUAGGAGACUGCCGGGGUCAACUCGGAGGAAGGUGGGGAUGACGUCAAGUCAUCAUGCCCCUUAUGUCCAGGGCUUCACGCAUGCUACAAUGGCCGGUACAAGGGCUGCG
rnacentral:rRNA from 1 species